GCGGCUAUAGUGUAAUGGCAGCACGAGAGACUGUGGCUCUCUUAGUACGGGUUCAAAUCCCGUUAGUCGCCCCA
rnacentral:tRNA from 1 species